UGAUUCCUUAUUUUUCAAGGUGCUUACCAAUAAUUCCCUGAUAUCUGUUAGGUCCUAUGAAUCUUCGUCCACUCACUAUGGUAUUUAACCUCAUCUGAUGUCCCCUACCCUCUCUAAUUCAGAUUUUUUAAGCUUCUUAUGCCCGGAAGAGUGCUGAAAUUUUACAGAGAAGUCAAUAUGAAUGACUCUGUAAAAAUGUCAAAGAUUUUUCAACACCUAACAUGCAUCAAUAAAGUAAAAUUAGAAUAAGUCUCCUUAUUUCUUUUGGGAUAGCCUUAUGGCUAGAAAAAUUAUGAGAUUCAUACACUCAUUCACCCCACAAACUUUUAUAAAUGCUUACGUAUUCAGUACUUUGUGAAACGGUGAAGAUAUGACUCUGACUUCAAAAAUAGAGCUCUUUAGUCAGGCGCCCCUUUGUAGGAUCGCAUGUCAGUUACACUGAACACUCACGCCUGUUUUAAUGAAUCAUGCUUUACUCCAACAGUUGCCCAGCUUCCAAAUACCUAAUGGAUAGACAAUGUGUUUACUCAUGGGGAGUCCCUCCUUUUCCACAAUCUCAGACAUUUGUAGCAUUGUUUGAGGAGGUUCACCCUUAUUUCAUUUGGGGGGAUUGCGGCUAGCACCUCAGAUCUCAAUGUUCAACAGACCGAGAGUCUGUAUAUAUGGAUUCAGAAUACCUUUGGAAUCUAUUUUUGAAAGUGAAAGCAUACAAUAGAUUGUCUAUACCUAAAGAUAUGUAACUAUUGUUCUUCUAUAAAUGCUACUUAUUUUAUUUUUUACUUCCUUCUUUCAAUAAGACUUUUUAUGACAUCAUUCCAUAUCAUAAUUGCAUGUUGUUAUUGCAUGCCUACAAAUAUUUACACUAAUUAUGUAAUGAGCCAUAAUUGCACUAAUACAUGAUAAUGGGCUAAAAUCAGUGUACAUAAACAAGGAUAUUCACACAACGAAAAGAGCAGGGUAUUGAAAACCAUUAGUAUUCUAGCAACAACAUCUUUCUGUCUUUGACCCCUAGAAGAAGAUGAAUUUUUCCACUUCUGGAUAUUCUCUAUAAGCUAUCCAUUUAGGCUCAUAUACUAGCAUGCUAGCACAUCAAAACUUAUACUGUCUUUGUUCUAUCUUCUUUGGCUAACUCUUACCAGCCCUUUCAUUGCCUUGUUUUCUAUUCCUAAGAGUUAAACCUUCACAGUGUUUACAGAAAUCAAGCAAAUGGUCAGUGCAAGGAAAAUGACAGAAAUUCGAAUGCAAAGGAAAGACAAUGACUUAUGUUUUCUUCUAGUGUCCUAGUGAAUAUUAAAUCUUAUACAUAAUUUAAUAUCAAGAGGCAGAGGACUCACAUUACUCCUUGAAUUUCCAUAUGAGAUCCAGGACUUAAGGCAAACUUACCACGGGGGGGGGGGGGGGGUUGUUUGUUUUAUUUUUUUAUUUACCAUACUAUGAAGUUAUAAUAUAAGUAGAAGGACAAGAGACAUGACAUAAAAAUAAAAAUCACCUGGCCUUUAUCUUCAGGUUCUUUUAUACUCCCACUUUGCCCAUUCAUUCAUAUGCUUUUGCUUUCAUACAACGAACAUAUUUUUAAGUCUCUCCUUUGUGCCAGGUAGUAGGCAUGCAGGUUGGAUUAGAUUUGCAAUGGUGAGUAGCACAGCUCCAUCUUCAAAUAACUCACGGUGUAAUAAAAAGAGACAGAUGGAUAAAUUAUGAUGCAAUAGUGUUAGGGUUAAAUUAGAAAUCUGUAUAUGAAAUGAUGAGUGAUCAGAGGAAGAACUCUUUGAAUCGAGGCUUGAAGGAUGAAUGGGAGUUUGCUUGGUGAAACUAACUUCCCAGUCUUCCCCUAAGCCGGGUAGCACUCGUCCAAGAGAGGCAGCCUCCUCAAAAAAAGCAGCCCCACUCCAUGAUACGUGCAUCAGGGAAUAGGGCUGGAAAAAUGGGAAAAACGGCCCCUCUCCAGGUUAGUGGAGCAGCGUGAUGAAACGCCAACUCUGCAAGAUUUGGAUCUAUUUUUUGGAACGUAGUUAGCACCAUGGGACUGCCACCCUUUUAUUCACCAUGUGCUUAGACACUCCUCCAUCUCUGAAUGCCUGGGCCCAGCUCCUUUAUGGAACAGCCUUUACCAGGCAAAACCAGGGCUAAGCAAUGAGGAGAGGUGGCCAUCUAUAGACCAGAGAGCAGACCUCAUGGGAAAGUGCAAACCUGAUCCCACAUGAAUUCACAUGGAGAUGGGAAGUCAUCAAGCUGCAAAAGCCUGUCUGCUGCUCCAGCAUCAAACUAGGACAGAGGAUAAACUAAAGACCCCGUUUAAAAAUUAAAAGCAAACAGGGAAAUUUACUGUAUUUCGGUAGAAGGAAAAAAAAUACAGAAUCACAUUUUACACAUUGCUAAACUAUUGGGGUCAGAAUUUACACCAAAAAAAAAGUGCUGAAACAGCUCUCAAAAGAGGGGCACUUGAUAAGCAUGUGAAUUAUGUAAUUUUAUGGUAAAUACUGUUGGGUGAAGGUUCAGCAUAGCUUCUGUAUUAUUUGUCUAUCUCUGCUUUGCUCACAAUCCUGUUUCCUAGCAUUUUUCACCAUGUUUUGGCUGAAGCUCUUUCCCUUUGUUAAUUGACCCUUUAGAGAUUAUAGUUGUUCAGUUUCACGGUAGAAACAUUUGUUUUCCUACUUCUUUUUCAAUUGUUCAAGUUUAAAUAUUGGUUUACUUUUAUAUGGUUAACACAGAUACCCGAGGGCGUUAGUUUGAUCAGAAUAAACGCUAUUAUAUAUCAUUAUCAUAAUUUUGAUGCACCGAUGAUAUCAAGAAGAACAGCCCUUAGUAUUUCCUCCCUUCUUGUACGCACAGUAAUCUCAAGUCAAGAUUCUUGUGUUAUUUCCUCUACCGUCAGGCCCUUUGAUGUGUUGUCUCUUAUGAUUGGCCCAAAUAGGUGACAGCACGAAGAACAAUUAGAAGACUAACAUGUAAUUUCAUUGCUUCAGAAAUGGUAGCUUUCCAGCCAUUGUGACUGCAUGCUCCCAGG
rnacentral:lncRNA from 1 species